AUGAAGGUUAGAAUCCCUCCUACACUAAUGAACCCAUAUGUCCUAAUUACCCUCUUAUUUGGACUAGGCCUAGGAACCACCAUUACAUUUACAAGUUCACACUGACUACUCUCGCCUGAAUAGGACUAGAAAUUAAUACUCUAGCCAUUAUUCCCCUGAUAACCCAACACCACCACCCCCGAGCCGUUGAAGCAACAACCAAAUACUUCCUCACUCAGGCCACCGCCGCAGCCAUACUUCUUUUUGCAAGCACUACCAAUGCUUGACUCACCGGACAAUGAGAAAUCCAACAAAUAACACAUCCCUUCCCAACAACCAUAAUCAUUCUCGCCCUAGCACUAAAAGUAGGCCUAGCCCCAUACACUCCUGACUCCCCGAAGUAUUACAAGGACUUAGCCUCACUACCGGGCUUAUCCUAUCCACUUGACAAAAAUUAGCCCCAUUUGCCCUCCUCCUGCAAAUCCAACCCGCCGAUCCCUUCAUCCUCAUUACAUUGGGCCUGACCUCAACUCUAGUCGGCGGCUGAGGAGGACUUAACCAAACACAACUACGAAAAAUCCUUGCUUACUCUUCAAUCGCUCACCUGGGCUGAAUGAUACUCAUCCUCCAAUUCUCCCCGACCAUCACACUUCUUACCCUAAUUACAUAUCUCCUGGCCCCCUCCUUUCUAUUAAUUGCCACACUAGCCAUCUCAUGAACUAAGACCCCCGCCCUAACAUCCCUCACCCCCUAAUUCUCCUCUCACUCGGAGGCCUCCCCCCACUAACCGGAUUUAUGCCCAAAUGACUUAUCCUUCAAGAACUUACCAAACAAGACCUAUCAACACUAGCGACACUAACCGCACUCACUGCCCUCCUCAGCCUAUUCUUUUCUACGCCUAUCUUAUGCAAUAGCCCUUACCCUGUCCCCAAAUAAUGCCACCGGAACCACUCCCUGACGACUCUCAUCCACCCCAAUCUAACCUGCCACUAGCCCUCUCAACUACCACCUCAAUCCUUCUCCUCCCCUCGCCCCCGCCGCAAUAGCCCUUUUCACCCCCUAAGGUGACUUAGGUUAAUAUCCAGACCAAGGGCCUUCAAAGCCCUAAGCGGAAGUGAAAAUCCUCCAGUCCCCGAUAGAGCCUGCGAGACACUAACUCACAUCUUCUGCAUGCAAAACAGACGCUUUAAUUAAGCUAAAGCCCUCCUAGAUAGGCAGGCUUGAUCCUACAAACUCUUAGUUAACAGCUAAGCGCUCAAGCCAGCGAGCAUCCAUCUAACUUUCCCCCGCCUAAACAACUAAAGGCGGGGGAAAGCCCCGGCAGACGCUAAUCUGCUUCUCUAGGUUUGCAACCUAGCAUGAUUAUACACCUCGGAACUUGGUAAGAAGAGGAAUUGAACCUCUGUCUACGGGGCUACAACCCACCGCUUAAAACUCAGCCAUCCUACCUGUGGCAAUCACACGUUGAUUUUUCUCUACCAAUCAUAAAGACAUCGGCACCCUUUAUCUAGUAUUUGGUGCUUGAGCCGGAAUAGUGGGCACCGCUCUUAGCUUGCUCAUCCGAGCAGAACUUAGUCAGCCCGGCUCACUCCUGGGGAUGACCAAAUCUAUAACGUAAUCGUCACCGCCCACGCUUUCGUGAUAAUUUUCUUUAUAGUAAUGCCAAUCAUGAUCGGAGGCUUCGGAAACUGACUAGUCCCCUUAAUAAUUGGAGCACCAGACAUGGCAUUUCCCCGAAUGAACAAUAUAAGCUUCUGACUUCUCCCCCCUUCUUUCCUCCUUCUCCUGGCUUCUUCUGGGGUAGAGGCUGGAGCUGGGACCGGUUGGACUGUAUACCCUCCCCUUGCUAGCAACCUCGCUCACGCUGGAGCAUCCGUCGAUCUGACCAUCUUUUCUCUCCACUUAGCGGGUGUCUCCUCAAUUCUUGGAGCCAUUAACUUUAUCACGACCAUUAUUAACAUAAAACCCGCUACCGUCUCCAUAUAUCAAAUCCCCCUAUUCGUCUGAGCAGUCUUGAUUACAGCCGUUCUUCUUCUACUCUCCCUCCCAGUCCUAGCCGCCGGUAUCACCAUGCUUCUUACAGAUCGUAACCUAAACACAGCAUUCUUCGAUCCUGCCGGAGGGGGAGACCCGAUUCUCUAUCAACAUCUGUUCUGGUUCUUCGGCCACCCGGAGGUGUACAUUCUUAUCCUCCCCGGCUUUGGAAUAAUUUCACAUGUCGUAGCCUACUACUGUGGGAAAAAAGAACCCUUCGGAUACAUGGGCAUAGUCUGAGCUAUAAUAGCUAUUGGCCUCUUAGGAUUUAUCGUAUGGGCCCACCAUAUGUUCACCGUAGGGAUGGACGUUGACACACGCGCCUACUUUACAUCCGCAACUAUGAUUAUUGCCAUCCCAACUGGCGUAAAAGUCUUCAGCUGACUUGCAACAAUCCACGGCGGAAACAUUAAAUGAGACACCCCAAUGCUCUGAGCUCUCGGAUUCAUCUUCCUAUUCACAGUCGGAGGCCUGACUGGUAUUAUCCUGGCCAACUCUUCCCUAGACAUCGUUCUCCACGACACAUACUACGUAGUUGCCCACUUCCACUACGUCCUGUCUAUGGGGGCCGUAUUCGCAAUUGUUGCCGGCUUUGUCCACUGAUUCCCUCUAUUUACAGGUUACACCCUGCACAGCACAUGAACAAAAAUCCACUUCGGAAUCAUAUUCGCAGGGGUAAACUUAACUUUCUUCCCUCAGCACUUCCUAGGACUAGCCGGAAUGCCUCGACGAUACUCAGACUACCCGGAUGCCUACGCCCUAUGAAACACUAUGUCCUCCAUUGGGUCUCUAGUAUCCCUUGUAGCCGUUAUUUUAUUCUUGUUCAUUAUCUGAGAAGCAUUCACUGCCAAACGUGGAGUCUUAGCAGUAGAAUUCACCGCCACAAACAUAGAAUGACUUCACGGCUGUCCUCCCCCCUAUCACACAUUCGAACAACCUGCCUUUGUCCAAGCUCGAAAUAACUAACGAGAAAGGGAGGAAUUGAACCCCCAUAGAUUGGUUUCAAGCCAACCACAUAACCGCUCUGUCACUUCCUUAUAAGACACUAGUAAAACCAUUACGCUGCCUUGUCAAGGCAAAAUUGCAGGUUAGAUUCCUGCGUGUCUUAGACAAACAAUGGCACAUCCUUCACAGCUAGGUUUUCAAGAUGCAGCUUCACCAUUAAUAGAAGAACUCCUCCACUUCCAUGAUCACGCCCUAAUAAUCGUUUUCCUGAUUAGCGCUUUCGUCCUAUACAUUAUUGUAGCCAUAAUCACCUCUAAGCUAACGGACAAACUUAUUCUAGACUCCCAGGAAAUUGAGGUCAUCUGAACCGUCCUCCCGGCAAUUGUGCUGAUUAUGAUUGCCCUCCCAUCCCUCCGAAUCCUUUACCUAAUAGAUGAAAUCAAUGAUCCACAUCUUACAAUUAAAGCAAUGGGCACCAAUGAUACUGAAGCUACGAAUAUACAGACUAUGACGAUCUCGGCUUUGACUCCUACAUGGUCCCAACACAAGAUCUUACUCCCGGCCAGUUUCGGCUCCUAGAGGCAGAUCACCGAAUGGUAAUCCCCGUAGAAUCCCCAAUCCGAGUCCUCAUCUCCGCAGAAGACGUACUUCAUUCUUGAGCCGUACCAUCCCUGGGCGUAAAAGUAGAUGCAAUUCCUGGCCGGCUCAACCAAACAACCUUUAUUGUUAACCGACCAGGCAUCCUCUACGGACAAUGCUCUGAAAUCUGCGGGGCUAACCACAGCUUCAUACCCAUUGUGAUCGAAGCAGUUCCCCUGCCACACUUCGAAAACUGAACAUCGCUAAUAAUGGCAGAAUACACCUCGCUAAGAAGCUAAGUCAGGCAAGCAGCGUUAGCCUUUUAAGCUAAAGAUUGGUGGCGCCUAAUCACCCUUAGCGAAUAUGCCUCAACUAAACCCCGCCCCAUGGCUCGCCAUCCUAACCUUUUCCUGGCUCAUCUUCCUAACAGUAAUUCCUCCUAAAAUUCUAGCCCACUCUUUCCCUAAUGAACCUACCCCCCACAGCACAAAAGCUCCUAAAACUGAUCCCUGAAUGUGACCAUGGCAUUAAGCUUUUUUGACCAAUUUAUAUCUCCAAAUUUUUUAGGAAUUCCGCUGAUUGCUAUGGCCAUUGCCCUCCCAUGGACCCUCUAUCCAACACCAUCAACUCGAUGAUUAAGCAACCGACUACUAACCCUUCAAAACUGAUCAAUCAACCGAUUUACUCAACAGCUUCUUCUGCCUUUAAAUCAAGAGGGGCACACAAAUGAGCCGCCCUAUUGGCCUCCUUAAUAAUUUUCCUGCUAUCACUAAAUAUACUAGGCCUCCUUCCAUACACCUUCACCCCCACCACACAACUAUCUCUCAACCUAGGUCUCGCAGUCCCCCUGUGACUCGCAACAGUAAUUAUUGGAAUGCGAAACCGACCAACCCACGCCCUAGGCCACCUUCUCCCAGAGGGAACCCCCUCCUGCUAAUUCCAAUCCUAAUUAUCAUCGAAACAAUCAGUCUCCUCAUCCGUCCAAUUGCUCUCGGAGUCCGACUAACAGCCAAUCUCACAGCAGGACACUUACUAAUUCAACUCAUCGCCACCGCUUCUUUUGUCCUCCUUCCACUAAUACCAACGGUGGCCGUCCUGACAACUGCCCUACUGUUUUUACUCACCCUCCUUGAAGUGGCCGUUGCUAUAAUUCAAGCUUAUGUCUUCGUCUUACUUCUGAGCCUCUACCUACAAGAAAACGUAUAAUGGCACAUCACUCACACCCCUACCAUAUAGUUGACCCCAGCCCAUGACCCCUAACAGGAGCUAUUGCCGCCUACUAAUAACGUCAGGACUCGCAGUCUGAUUCCACUUCCACUCCACCUCUUUGAUACUACUCGGGACAAUUUUACUUACCCUAACAGUAAUCCAAUGAUGACGAGACAUCGUACGAGAAGGAACAUUUCAAGGCCAUCACACCCCACCAGUCCAAAAAGGCCUCCGAUACGGAAUAAUCCUCUUCAUCACAUCAGAGGUACUAUUUUUCCUAGGCUUUUUCUGAGCAUUCUACCACUCAAGCCUGGCACCCACACCAGAACUAGGAGGCAACUGACCCCCUGCGGGCAUUACCCCCCUAGACCCCUUCGAAGUGCCCCUCCUUAAUACAGCUGUUCUACUUGCCUCAGGGGUCACAGUCACCUGAGCUCACCACGCAAUUAUAGAGGGCAAGCGAAAACAAGCCAUCCACGCCCUAGCCUUAACAAUCCUCCUUGGUGCUUACUUCACCUUCCUCCAAGCCAUGGAGUACAAUGAGGCACCAUUCACAAUUGCAGAUGGGGUCUACGGCUGCACCUUCUUCGUAGCCACUGGCUUCCACGGGCUCCACGUCCUUAUCGGCUCCACAUUUUUAGCUAUUUGCCUUGCUCGCCAAAUCUCACAUCACUUUACAUCAGAACAUCAUUUUGGAUUCGAAGCAGCCGCAUGGUACUGACAUUUUGUAGACGUUGUAUGACUUUUCCUAUACAUUUCAAUUUACUGAUGAGGAUCAUAA